UAAGAUACAAAAUCUAUUGGUUCUAGUGAGGGUCAGCCACUAGAGGUAACGGGGAAAGUUUGGUAAAAAUCCAACACUGUCCCGCAACUGUGAUGAGAUUUUAUGGAAGUUUUAUUAACAUCAAAUCUCUAAGUCAGGAUGCCCGCCAAUAGAAAUCUACAAAC
rnacentral:ncRNA from 2 species